AAUAGAUACCCGGGUAGUCCACGCCGUAAACGUUGGAUACUAGGUGUGGCGGUUAUACCAAUGACUGCCGUGCCGAGGCUAACGCAUUAAGUAUCCCGCCUGGGGAGUACGGCCGCAAGGCUAAAACUCAAAGGAAUUGACGGGUCCCCGGCACAAGCGGCGGGAGCAUGCGGCUUAAUUCGAUGCAACCCGAAGAACCUUACCUGGGUUUGACAUCACGGGAAAAGCUGUAGAAAUACAGUGUCCAUUAGGGCCCGUGACAGGUGGUGCAUGGCUGUCGUCAGCUCGUGUCGUGAGAUGUUGGGUUAAGUCCCGCAACGAGCGCAACCCUUGUCCUAUGUUGCCAGCGGUUCGGCCGGGGACUCAUAGGAGACUGCCGGGGAUAACUCGGAGGAAGGUGAGGACGACGUCAAGUCAUCAUGCCCCUUAUAUCCAGGGCUGCACGCAUGCUACAAUGGCCGGUACAACGGGCAGCGACCCCGCGAGGGUGAGCGAAUCCUAAAAAAGCCGGUCCUAGUUCGGAUUGAAGUCUGCAACUCGACUUC
rnacentral:rRNA from 1 species